rnacentral:rRNA from 1 species
CUACGGAGUGCUCCAGUGAGGAAUAUUGCACAAUGGGGGGAACCCUGAUGCAGCAACGCCGCGUGGAGGAUGACGCAUUUCGGUGUGUAAACUCCUUUUAUAUGUCAAGAAGAUGACGGUAGCAUAUGAAUAAGCACCGGCUAACUCCGUGCCAGCAGCCGCGGUAAUACGGAGGGUGCAAGCGUUACUCGGAAUCACUGGGCGUAAAGGACGCGUAGGCGGGUUGGAAAGUCAGGUGUGAAAUCCUACAGCUUAACUGUAGAACUGCACUUGAAACUUCUAAUCUAGAGUAUGGGAGGGGGAGAUGGAAUUAGUGGUGUAGGGGUAAAAUCCGUAGAUAUCACUAGGAAUACCUAAAGCGAAGGCGAUCUCCUGGAGCAUUACUGACGCUAAGGCGUGAAAGCGUGGGGAGCAAACAGGAUUAGAUACCCUAGUAGUC